ensembl:lncRNA
GAUUUGUAAAAGUUUAUAGGAAACUUUUGUAAUUUUAAAAAGUGACGUUGCGUCUUGUAAAGGGGCAUUUUUCUGGAUCAGACCGGUCUUCAGCAAAUCACAUUUUGGGUAUACAAUGACGGAUUUAAUCGGGAAAAAGACCCAAUUGUGAUGUUUAUGUGACAUAUAGGAGUGCCAAGAAAGAAGCUCGUCAAAGGCGGACCUCGGUCUCCAAUGUGUCAGAGUUCCCUCCGACACAUUGCUGCGGCUGGCACCUGCGUUAAGAAGCACAAUUAGGCAGGAACUCCCAUACGGACUCGGGAGAGGCGAAGGUCGAGAGCCGUUCGUCCCCCGAAACACAACCCAGCCGAGCCGCACUGCUUCUUGACACAAUGCCCACUUAACCCGGAAGCCAGCCGCAUCAAUGUGACUGAGGAAACACCGUACACCUGGCUACCGUGUAAGCGUGCAUUGCGCCCAGCCCGCCACAGAAGUCGCUAGAGUGCAAUGGGAUAAGAACAUCCCUGCCAGCCAAACCCUCCCUAACCCGGAUGACGCUGGGACAAUUUUGCGCCGCCCCAUGGGUCUCCCGGUCGCGGCAGAGCCUGGACUCAAACCAGGAUCUCUGCUAUCACUGUGAUGCAGUGCCUUAGACCAGCGGUCUCCAACUUCCGG